rnacentral:lncRNA from 12 species
GGGUCCUGAGUGGAUGAAGAAAGACUGCUGUGUAGGAAAAUGGCCUGAAGCAUUCCAUGGGGAGGUGAAGCCUUUGGCAUGUAUGUGAUUACAGCCUGGGGUGAAGACUCCACUAGAGGUGGGACAAGCAAUAUCAUUCAACUAGAAUCCCUAGUCUAGAUAUCCUAUCAUUCUUUGUCAAUAGCUGGUCCAUAUGGGGGCCUGUACCAACCUUGAGAGCCCAGAGUACAGGCCUCUGCUCAGUGAUGGGGUUGGGAUGGGUUGAGGGCCACAACAGUGAUGGUAGUAAUAGGACACUGGGUCCUCAGGAGACCAUGGGAGAUAGCUGGAGUUCUCACUUUUCCCGAUGAGGAACCAGGCUCAGGGAGGCCAGGCUGCAAGCUUAAGGUCACACAUGGACUGAAUGUUGGAGCUGAGAUUGUUCUAGAGUUACUCAUGGCAUGCUUAAGGAUAAUAUAGCAUUGCUCUCCGCUGACUCUGGGUCCUGAGUCAGAUGUCCAGGUUCUAAAGUCAAAGAUGGUGGAGGGAAUUGGACUGAAGAUAUUAUGGUCUCAAUGACCUUAUCCUUGGCCCUUGCAGGAGUAGCCAUCUAAAAUGUCACCUUGGUGAUGGACUUUUGGAGAGCCCAGAAAAGGCUGCAGAUGAAGGGUGUCGUUUCCUUCCUUGCCACUUUCUUCACUGAUCUGAUGAUGCUGGACAUUGCAAUGGAGAAGUACCUGGAGGAAUACAAAGUAAUGACAGAGAUCAUGCUGCUCCAGGUGGCUGCAGGUAAUUACAACCUACAGCCCAAGGAUCCAUGUAGGGCCUCAUUCAAGUCUAUGGAGUGGCUCAACAAGGAUGAGAAGUGAGACCCAUCAGGAGCCUGGUGAGGGUAGAGGUGGACUCUUUCUGGUGGCCACUCUGGGGAUCCAUCUUCUUUGGCUCCCUGAGCAGCCUCAAGCCCUCUUGCUUGGGCAGCAGACUCUGGCUGCUGGGAAAACACUGGGAAGGACUCCUGAAUUGAAGUUCCUGGUCAACUCACACAUGUCACUCUGUCCUUAGCUACCUCCUGUCCUGCCAGCUGAAGCCCCAGUCCUGGCUGGCCAGCAGAACUCAAGAACAAAAAGAACUGGCCACUGUCAAGCACAGGGCUGAGUGAGUGUCCAGUGGCAAUGCAAUGUUUCCUCAGCAGCUGGAGCACUUGUGGUACUUGGGCCCCAUCUGCUCAACACCCCUUCUUCCCAUCUAUUCAAUUAUUUUAAGGGGCAAUAUUUAAUUUUCUUAAAUAGUAAAUAGUAGCUUUGAAUAUUAUAUUAAAUCCCUCUUUCUUUUACAGCCCAGGUGUGUGGUUUGGUUCUUUUACUUCCUACAAUAGUUUAAAUGAUGUACAGGCUCUCAUAUUCUUUCUUGAACUCAGAAAUCUUACAGAUUCAAUAGUUAUUGUAUAUGGGAGAAAGGAGAAGAGCCAGCUCUCUUCACUAGCUACUGGAUAUCCCCCUCAAGUCCCCUUUACUCAGAGGCCAGGUUCAUUUCAGUAUGAAACGAAUUGGGGCAAACAACAGAGAAAGCCCCUCAGAACUCCUGAGAUUUAGAAUUUGAAGGUACUUUCACAGGAAUAGCAACAACCCCUGAAAUUGGGUGUCUUUAAGGGUAACACAUGCCAGAACUACUUCCUGCCACAGGACAGUGGUUGCCUUUCUUCACACUAAAGAAAAGAGGAAUAUUUUCUGCUUCUUUUGUUGAUGUGGUUUGGUUUAGUUUGUUUUUUUUUUUUUUUUAAGAUUUAUUUAUUUAUCAUAGAGAGAGAGAGAGAGGCAGAGACACAGGAGGAGGGAGAAGCAGGCUCCAUGCCGGGAGCCCGAUGUGGGACUCGAUCCCGGGACUCUAGGAUCGCGCCCCGGGCCAAAGGCAGGCGCCAAACCGCUGAGCCACCCAGGGAUCCCCUGGUUUGUUUUUUUUUUUGACCCAAUAUUUGGAAAUUUCAGUUUUCUAGUUCAAUCUCUGGAAUUGUAUCAGCACUAAAUGGUAAAAACAUGUAAAGGGAUCAAAUCUUGCAUGUGGAGGGGACAAGGCCAGAGGAAGAUAAUUUGCAAAUAGACUAAGGGCAGACAGGCCUCUGUCUUGCUCUAGGGGCUCCAGGUUCACCCUUUACCUAGAUUGAAAUCCUCCUGGGAUCCUGUCAAUGAUCUCUGAAUUUCUCUUUCUGCUUGCUUUGUAUUUGGGGAAGAGGUGUGUGGUGGACCUUUAAGGCCACAGCUGGGCCAGGUGCAAUAAAUAUCUGUGCUUAUUGUAAAAUUUUUUUAAU